CCCAUUCUCAUAAAUUCAUGUUUUUUUCUCACAAUUUCUUACUAAAAUCUCUGAAUAAAUUUUUUUCUCACAAUUCAUGAAGGAAUUAAGUUUUAUUUUGAAAAUUUGAGAAAUAAUCUAGAGUAAAUUAGACAUUUUAAGACAAUACUGAACAGUAGUAUUUGUAAUCAUAUGUAUUUUGUAUUAUUUUGCAUGAAUUUGAAAAGUACAUAUUUGUAUUUGUAAUCUAAACUGAGCGUUAGGAGUAGUUUAAGAAAUUUGCCCAUACAUAUUUUCCCCCGCGCACUCGAAAGUCGGAUGCCUGUUCCCCGUUAACCGUCAGCGCCACCUUAUCCACUGAGUAGUAGUAGUGGAAUAACACUCCCAGGAGAAGAGAAAUGGCUGCAGUUUAUACGCCCUCAUCGGCCUUCCUGUCCACUCCACCCCAGAAAGUAUACUCGUUUGCUUCUCCCAAGACUCCGUUCCUUGGAUUUCCAGUUGCAGCAGCCAAACCUUCUAUUCAAGCUCGAGCACUUACCCUCUCUAAGCCAACCCCCAACCAGAUUCAUUGCCAGGGAGGUGCAGUAGUUCCCAAGGAGCAGAAGUGGAUGUUCGACGAAUCUAAUAUCAACGGCCCGGAUAUUUGGAAUAAGACAUGGUACCCAAAAGCUGCAGAUCAUGUAAACACAGAAAAAACAUGGUAUGUUGUAGAUGCAACUGACAAAAUUCUGGGAAGAUUAGCAUCAACUAUAGCCAUUCAUAUCCGUGGGAAGAAUCUGGCAACAUAUACUCCCAGUGUGGACAUGGGGGCAUUUGUCAUAGUGGUGAAUGCAGAAAAGGUUGCUGUAUCUGGUAAAAAGAGGACACAAAAGCUAUAUAGGAGGCAUUCUGGAAAACCUGGUGGCAUGAAGGUGGAAACAUUUGAUCAACUCCAACAAAGAAUUCCAGAGAGAAUAAUUGAACAUGCUGUCCGUGGCAUGCUUCCUAAGGGGAGGGAACAACAUAAUCUUGAUCUGAAAAAGCACCUUAUUAAUUUGAAUGCCUUGGAAAGUUAGGGGAAAGCUUGUUCCUGCAGACUUGUUUGAAAGAUUCUUAUUAAAUUAUCUCUUGAGAAUAACAUGUGGUCAGGUCAUUUACUUUAAAGGGGAAAAUGGCCCGUAAUUAGAGCUUGAAGCAGCCUCCUUUUGGCUCUAAAUGGCCUUAGUUCUGGGCUGAGGUGCUAUAUUACAGUGGCUACCCCAUAUGUUUUCCAGGUUGUCGUCUAGCAAUGCUUUAACUACGGUGUUAUUGUAGUUUGUGCCCACGUGUACAUGUAUUUUCUUUCAUUUCAAAUUUUAAGUCACUAUUAUUACUGAUUUGUGUAUUUCUUAUACAUGGUGGUUUCUUUUCUUUCUAUGUGAUAUCUAUGCUUUUUGUUUUAAGUGUUUAACUACUCCAACACCUCGACUAAUCCUUUCUGCAAAAGUAUCAUAUUAAGAAUAUACUUGAUAUUGUUAUUGGAGAAAAUGAAAAUGGUUGUUUUCCUUUGGCUACUUGCACAGAGAUUUGCUCACAGAAGAUAUGUUAUACUGCCUUGGAAGUACCGUUAUAUUUCCUUAAUAUUCUUUUGUAGCAUAUCAUAAUCUCCUUUUCUAAGCUGCCCAACGUCUGUAUUGGAUAUUUGGACU